GACUGGGAGCACCUGAGCUUGGUGUGCAGGGUGCAUGCGAGUGGCUGAACUGAGGUGGGACUGUGAGAGGGAAAGCAGUCAGGGUGCUUGUAGACAGAAAAGAGAGAGAGCGACGGAGAGACUGAGUGGCUGGUUAACUGUGUGGACCGUGGAGGUUCCUGGUACUGGGCCCAGUCGCCGGGAGAGAUCUGUCUGGCACCGGAGCAGGAAGAGCUGGCUCCCCGGGCUCUUCCCUCCGGGUGUGUUUUUCAUGCAAAGUAGCAGCCCUCUGUUCUGUUUGAACAUCAGCUAAAGAGAGAGAGAGCUGCAAGUGCUAAUGAUGGUCCCAAUAUACAUUUUUCACUCAUGGCAAAGUCUCCUCAGCACCACAACGUUCCUGUCAAAGUGUGUUAGUGGGCCAGUCUUGGGCAUGCCUUGGCCACGAAAUGCUGCAGCUGUAUGUAGGCAAGCCCCCAGAAGACUUGGAUCCAAACCCAAAGAGCAUUUCAGAGGGUGAGGAAAUGAAGACAGGGGACCAUUGCUGACCCAUGGAGGAAGGAGCAGUCUAGUCUUCAGUAUCAGCAACAGGUUCAGUCACUGCCAAACUGGCAAUGGCUUUCGGCUGUGCAGUCAAGAGCCAUUGCCCAUCAGGCAGCAGCUGUGAGACGGUUAAACUGGUAGCUUUUGCCUGAGCAAAAGGAGAGUGAGCAAGCUGAUGAUUAGGCUCUGUCCAUGCUUCGUGGAGCCAUCAUUCUGAGGAAAACCUCCAGCCUCGAUCAACCAAGUCUGCUGGGACAUCUUCAUUAGCACGCUCCAGCUGCCUCAGCGUCUCGUGUAUUCAGC